rnacentral:rRNA from 1 species
GAUGAACGCUGGCGGCGUGCUUAACACAUGCAAGUCGAACGGUAAGGCCCCUUCGGGGGUACACGAGUGGCGAACGGGUGAGUAACACGUGGGCAAUCUGCCCCUGUCUCCGGGAUAACUCAGGGAAACUUGAGCUAAUACCGGAUAUGCCGGUAGGACCGCAUGGUCCAGCCGGGAAAGCUCCGACGGACAGGGAUGAGCCCGCGGCCCAUUAGCUUGUUGGUGAGGUAACGGCCCACCAAGGCGACGAUGGGUAGCCGAGCUGAGAGGCUGAUCGGCCACACUGGGACUGAGACACGGCCCAGACUCCUACGGGAGGCAGCAGUGGGGAAUAUUGCGCAAUGGGCGAAAGCCUGACGCAGCAACGCCGCGUGCGGGAUGAAGGCCUUCGGGUUGUAAACCGCUUUCAGCAGGGACGAAACUGACUGUACCUGCAGAAGAAGCCCCGGCUAACUACGUGCCAGCAGCCGCAGUAACAC